rnacentral:rRNA from 1 species
AUGUUAGCAAAAUACGGUUUGCAAAAACAUCCAUUCCUAACACAAAUAUAUGAGGUUAGGCAUAAGUGGGCCAAACCGUACUUCAUGGGUGUGUUCUGUGCAAAUAUGACAAGCACACGAGGAAGUGAAAGUGCAAAUCAUUUGUUGAAGGGGUAUGUACCGUGGGAUGUCCUAUGCAUCUAUUUAUUAAGCAAUUCGAGAAGAUAUUAUUUGAUAGAGACUCAGAGGAAAGCUAUCAAGAAAAACGCACUGCAGGUGUAG